rnacentral:rRNA from 1 species
AGUGAACGCUGGCGGUAGACCUAACACAUGCAAGUCGAACGGCAGCACAGUAAGAGCUUGCUCUUACGGGUGGCGAGUGGCGGACGGGUGAGGAAUACAUCGGAAUCUACUUUUUCGUGGGGGAUAACGUAGGGAGACUUACGCUAAUACCGCAUACGACCUACGGGUGAAAGCAGGGGAUCUUCGGACCUUGCGCGAUUGAAUGAGCCGAUGUCGGAUUAGCUAGUUGGCGGGGUAAAGGCCCACCAAGGCGACGAUCCGUAGCUGGUCUGAGAGGAUGAUCAGCCACACUGGAACUGAGACACGGUCCAGACUCCUACGGGAGGCAGCAGUGGGGAAUAUUGGACAAUGGGCGCAAGCCUGAUCCAGCCAUACCGCGUGGGUGAAGAAGGCCUUCGGGUUGUAAAGCCCUUUUGUUGGGAAAGAAAAGCAGCAGGUUAAUACCCCGCUGUUCUGACGGUACCCAAAGAAUAAGCACCGGCUAACUGCGG